UUUUACUUUGACUCGGCUGCCAAACCGAGGCUCCGGUGCUAUCAAAUCACAGUUCUAUCUGACCCUUCAAAAGCCAUAUUUAUGUUUUUUUGUUUCUCUUCCAUCAUUUCUUGGGGCUUCCUUUAGUUUCCCUUCCUCGAUUAAUUUAGUCGUGGCAGUCCGGAGAGACAAGAUCAAAUAACUCAAUUUCCCCCAUUUUUGGCAAACAUGCCCCCUGUUAUUCUCUUUCUGUCCCCUCUGUUCAUCGUUGAUCACCCUUUACUCCCCCCUUCACUGCCUUCUGGCAUUUACUAAGGGAUUUUCGUGAACCCCAUUUCGUCUAUUCCAUGGAUGAUUUAGUUUACGCUAUUAGGGCUGAGGGCUUCUCUUAUUUAUGGAGUUGAUCUCAACUAUUUUGCCCAGAGUCUUUGUGGGUGUGCGUUAACUUCAUUUCUUUUUUCUCCCUUGCAUGUCCAGAUUUCAUAGUACUAAGCACUCUGGUUAUUUUUUUUGUUUUUGUUGGGGUUUGCCUAAAAUGGGUAAGUUUCAGUUGUCAAUGUGUCGAUCAUUCAUGUUUUGGAUUUUCUUUUGUUUUUAUUAACUGGGUCCUGGCUUAAUGGCAAGUCCUACCUAGAUUUGCUUAUAUUUGUUUGUUUUAUGCUGUUGAUUAGGAUUUAGUAAAUCUGUUUGGAGGUAUUACGAAUUAUAUGUGUGAGGUGAGUGAUGCUUAGGAUGCUGAAUCUGAUCCCUCUAAACUUGAUUUUGUUUUUAGUCAUUUGUUUAAUUUAUAUGUUCAUCAUUGUUCAUUUGCAGUAUAUGCAUUUCAAGCGUAUCUGUUUAUUGUUCUUUAUAAAGUAUCCAGUCAUAAUUCAUUUGGAUUAAAUAGCCACGGUUUUAUUAUUUAUUAUUACUUGUUUUUCUAAUCUCAGGAUAGCAUUUUUGUUCGUUUUUUUUUUUUUUUUUGGUCGAGUUGCAUGCUAUUGAAUGAGAAAUUUGUUAGAUGUAUUUCUGUUUUUGUACAAAAUUUUUUAAGUUAGCUUGUUUCUCAACGUUUAAAUCUUGUACAUGCAAAUAGGAUUGUUUUCUUUUAAAUGGUCUAAUUUCUAAAUGAUUCUCAUAUGUAACAACUGUGAUCUGAAAUUUUUGUUUUGCUUGUUUUAGUAUCUUGAUUAUUGAUCUCUAUGUUCGCAUUUUUCCACUAUUCAUCAGAAAAUUGCACCUGCCCAAUGAUGGAGAAACUCAUUUCUGGAGUUGUUAGGUUGAUUCUUAUCACAAGCCUUUGCCCUCAUCCACAACUCUCUUUCUCUCUCUCUCACUCUCUCUCUUUCUUCAAACACAAACCCAUCCAAUCUAUCUGUCUUUUCCCAAUAUUUUGCCUUCUCUUUUGGUAAAUUAUUAUAGUGGCUGUUGCUGUGUAGAGGUAGUGAUGAAAAUCAAUUUUGACUGAGGGCAUUUGCACAUACUCUUUGAUCGUAAAGGUUCACUGAAUUGUUUUACUAAUUUUGAAGUGCAAGGAACUUGUGCAUAAAGUCAUUUUUUGUUCUCCAAAUCUUAUUUCGAGACAAUUUUUUUUUUUUUUUUUAAUUUAAUCAAUUUUGGCUAACCAUCAUGUGUUGACUUAGUGGGCAUAAAGGCCUGGGAGAAAUAAGAGAAUUGGUGGCCACCUAUCUAAGAUUUUGGUAUCUUACGCGUUUCUUAUCAACCAAUGUAGCAGAGUUAGGUGGUGUUUUGGUGAAAUUAGUCGAGAUGCAUGUCGUUGCAGCAAGGUGGGAGAGUGUCACAUAGGCUGGUUCUAUAUGGCCAAUUUAAAGAGGCUGAUAUUCAAUAUAGAGCUUUUGGGUUCUAAUGUUAUGGUAGCACCUCGAACCGUUCACUCCUGACAUAAAUUUAAUGAUAAGGACCUAAAAGCAUUCUUUCCCCAAGUACAUGGAUCGAAACAGGUAAAGGUGAAAGUUCAGGAUCAUGAUAAAUUUUGAAUCUUUGUUUCUUUCUGAAUUAGUGAUUCUUCUAUCCUUCUGUUUUCAAUAUUUUGUUUUUAUUCAUGAUAAAUGUUGUCUAUUUAUAGACAUGAAUAUAUGAUCAUAUACAUGACUUUUAUAUUGGGUGUAAAGUCAUUUGUCUAGACAAAUCUCAUACACAAUCACUUGACUUCAUAAUAUUUGACAUUAUAAAAUUGGGUUUGGCUUGAACUCAUGGUCAUUAAGAUUUCUAGAAUCUUAUUUUACUGUAUUCAUUUUGAUUUUUGUAAUUCUUCUUCUUAUUAUUAUUAUUAUAAUUGUUUUUUAAUGUGCAUAUAUAUAUAUAUAUAUAUACACAUAUAUGUAUAAAUUGGUGGGGGUGGGAUGCACUUCUGAUUAAGUUGGUUCCUUUCAAUUGUAUUUUCAGAAGAUGUGUUGAUUGUAUGGUAUUUGGACUUUUGUGUAUGAAGAAAUUGGCUUUGCUUUAGAAGUUGCAUCUGCCCGAUGAUGGAAUUCACUGAUUAGAGCAGAUACUAAUGAUCCUCAUUAUAAGCCUUUGCCAUUAACCAACUCACACAUAAUCUGUCUGUCUGUGUGUCUCUCUCUCUCUCUCUCUCUAUCUCUCUCUAUCUCUCUAUCUAUCUGCCUAUCUGAUAAUCCAUAUAUCUGAUUUCUUCUUUUUCUUCUUCUUUUUUGUGGGUGGUUAAGGAUGUGCAGAGGCUAGUAAUGAAAAUCAAAUACAUCUAGAAAUGAUGAAGUAUGAUUAUGAUUUCUGAGGGCAUCUUGGAAUUGGUUAAUCUACAUGAAACUGUCACUGACGUUGUAGUCGGAUUUUGGAGAAUAAAACUAUUUCAUUUUAAAAUGUUUCUUGAUGGUUAUGCUUCUCAUGCAAUGGGUUUUCUCUGUUUUAUUACCGAACAAGAUUUGCACUCGUUAGAUUUGAAGCAUGAAAUAUGGUAUGCUAUUAAAUUAGAAUGAUGAUAAUCAGAAUAAUAAUGAAAUGUUGAUAAUGAUAAAGAGAACAAUUUAAGGAGUAGGAAUAUGCAUAUUAUUAAUUAGUGUUUGCAUUUUGAAAUUGUCUGUGCCCGAUGAUGGAAAAACUCGUGCUCUGAAGCAUUUGCAUUGAUUUCUAGUACUAGCCUUUGCCCUCAACCAUGAACUCUUUCUCUCUCUCUCUCUCUCUUUCUCAAACUCUACAAACACAUACAUACAUACAUACAUACAUAUAUAUAUAUAUACAUUAUACGCUUUCCAUUUCCUUUCUUUUCUUUUAUAGUGGCUGUAGAUGAGUAGAGGCUAGUAUGCGAAUGAAAUGCAAGCAUUGUCAAUGAGGAAUUAAGCUAUGAGUUCUGAGGGCAUUGUCAUCCUGUGUUUGGUUUUAAUGCAUUACCUGUUAUCCUUAGUGUAGACGUAGUGUUUGCUUGGUGCUCUCUGUGAUGGUAAUUGCAUCUGCCUAAAUGGGAAUGUGUGAGUUGUAUAGUUGUAUAGUGCCCAUUUGAUAACCGAGGUAUGAGUCAAUGUCCUUAUUCUGCGCUCUUUGCCCUUUGGAGCCCUUGCAUGCUUCCUUUUGGGAGGUCAUACUAAUAGCGCUGUCUUUGCUGUGUGUUUGUUGCCUUUUGAAGUUUAUAUGAGUUUGAUCACUUGCUAUGUUGGUUGGUCUCCACACACACACACACACACACACACACACACACAAAAGGGAUUUAUUUGAUUUGAGUGUUAUUUUCCUGUUGGCUUGUGUGAUCAUUACCAUGACCAUGAGGGAAAGCUCAUGGGUGAGCAUCUGAUUUAUC